rnacentral:sRNA from 1 species
UGCAAACGGUGCUGCGCGAAUGGUCGCCU